UCUUAUUCUUAGUUCUUGCAUUACUAGAAUUAUGUUAACAUCAGUUUAUGAGGUAUCCAAUUUCUAGUGUGAUUAUUAACAUUGGUCGCUAAAUUAACUGAUGUGUAAACUUUCAUUCGAAAAUUUUGAAAACUUCAUUCCCUCCAUUAGAAACGUGAGGGGACUAAACUUCAUUCCCUCUAACACCUGACUCUUUUCACUUUGUCAAUACACACUUUUCAAACCCUAAUUAGUGAGAAGUCUUUCACCUGACCUCCUCCACCUCCUCUCCUCCUUCUCUGACCUCCUUCACCUCCUCCUCCUUCUCCGCCUCCAACCAGCGCCCGUCUCCUUUUCUAGCGUCGGGCUUGUGCAAGCCUAUGAAAUUGACAAAGAUGAAGUCUAUAUAGCUGCACCAUAAUUUCUUACCAGAGACGAUGGAGCCGCACCAGUCGCCAAACCCUAGUCCGGCAAGCCUCUGUGAAACCUCCAAGGAGAAUACUUCUCCGCCUUCAGAUCUUGUCUAUGCCGCCUUGGAUUCGAAGCCUUCGUCAGCGGCCAAAUUGAAUAAACUGUUGCCGCCACGGCCACCACCAUUAAAUCCUCUCAAACUGAAGCUUGAGAUGCUUCUUGAGAACUCCGUCCAUGUAGCCUCUGAUCCUGGCCUCCAGGAAAUAAACGGAGUUGCGGAAACGAGAGAAAACAGUACAAAAAGGGAGCAAAUCGGAGUUUUCGACAAGGAGACGAAUUUGUCAGCAUAUAACCAUGAUCAAUGUCGACAAGAAAUAGGAUGCUGGGAGCUCGAUCAAAAAUGAAAAUGUUUAGAGAGAGAGAGCUUUGAAGAAAAUGGAAGAAAGAAGAAUAUAUAUAUAUAUAUAUAUAUAUAUAUAUAUAUAUAUAUAUAGAAACAUGUUGCUGAUGUGGCACGUGAGUCAUGCCAUCAAUUAAUCAAACCAUUGAUUAAUCAUCAUGGUUCCUAUUCCAUUGCCCUCCAGACCACGUGCUUACUCACUCUCUGUUAUCUCCCUUCACAGUUCACACAUGUGCAGGCAUAUAUAUAUUUGAAAGCCACGACCUAAUUCGUUCUUCUUCCCCUUUAGCUAGCAACGCUGCGCAGCAACUUUGGGGAGGGCUGCUGCCCUCUCCCUCCUUCCCCUCCAUUUUUUCCUCUUUUCUUCUUAUAAUUUCUUUUGAGAUUUGAAGAACUACUCACACAAAUCUUCAAGGAUCUAUCAAGGAGCUCAAUCUCUAUAAGAUUCAAGAUUUGGGUAUUUUUGUGGGUUACUCCUAUUUGGAUUCAGUUGGCAUGCCAAGAUUCUGAAAUGGGUGCAAUUUCGUAGCUGGAGUUUUGUAGCUGGAGUACUACACUUCCAGCAACCGUAACAUCUCUCGACCUCUUUUCAUUUAGGAUUCCGAUCUCUCAGUUUUGCGAUUCAAGGCCGAGGCUCUUCAAUUGCUAGCUACUUUAGAGAUUAUGUGGAUCAUGGUGCUAGGAACUUUUGGAUGCAUAACACUGGUCCUCUGGGGUGGUUGACUUAGAAUGUAGCCACAUUUGGAACCGACCCAUCAAAGCUUGAUGAGCAGGGAUGUGUUUGUGAGCACAACCAAGUAGCUAAAACUUUAAACUUGCAGCCUCAUGAUCUCAGUAAAAAGUUGCAAGGCCAAUGUUCUGAUGCAAUUAUCACAUAUGUUGAUAGCUUCUCUAUCAAAUAUGUCCUCAUUGCAAAAUAUUAUAAAUACGGUUAGGUCAUCUUAGUACCUUAUAUAACUUUGCCUCUGCACUUGGUUGUUACAGUUUACAUAUUUGAUUGUGAAGGUAUUGUAGAUUGUAUAACAGAAUCCGUUACAACGAAACCAACAAAGUGAAUACUUAUAGAGACACAACAGAAGAACAUGAAAUUAGCUAGAAAUUAUACAAUAGAAGAGUUUUGUAUACAAAAAGAAUAAUAUAGAUCCAACAGAUUUUGUUCGUUAUUCAAUUAAGGUUGCUUUCUCUUCCAUCUUCACUAGGACCUUCAGUUUCACAUUAUUGCUGGGACUUUCUGUUUUGCCUAUAGAGCUUGAUGUUUUUAUCUUGUGAUACCCCCAGCAUCUUUCUUUACUUUCCUGAUGAUUACUCAUCCUUUGUCUGUGAUUGAAACUUGGAACUGUAACCUGUUAAGUUUACUUAUACUGAAUUCUUUAUUAUAUUCAUUUCUGUUCUGUUCGGAUCAUUUUUAUGUAGGCCACUUUUCUGUGUAUAUAUUUACUACCUGUUUAAAGAAUAGUCUGCACGUUUCUCUCGCUAAAUAUGUUCUUUUGCUGAAGAUCACUUAAUAUUGAUAAAGCACUUAUAUGAUAGCUAUUUGCAUCUUCUGAUCCAGGUUCUAUACAUGGAUAGGAAUGACUAUUACGGAGGAGAGUGUGCAUCACUUAAUCUUAUUCAGCUGUGGAAGAGGUUCAGGGGAGAUGAUAAGCCCCCAGCACAGUUGGGCUCUAGUAGGGGUAGUUUAUGAUGGCCAAUGGAACUCUAAUGCGUGUCCUCAUUCAUACAGCUGUUACCAAGUAUUUGUCCUUCAAAGCUGUCGAUGGCGGUUUUGUCUAUAAUAAAGGAAAGGUUCACAAGGUUCCAGCAACUGACAUGGAGGCACUUAAAUCUCCACUCAUGGGUCUAUUUGAAAAGCGCCGUGCCCGCAAGUUCCUCAUAUGUUCAAGAUUAUAAUGAAAGUGAUCCGAAAACACACGAGGGAAUAGACUUUACGAGAGUGACAACUAGAGAAUUGAUUGAGUGCUGAAUGCUGCAUGGGAUGUUUGCAUAUCAAUUUCUAGUGAGAAUGCUCUUUUAUGUCAUAAUCGUGUCAGGUACAACAAGAUAUUGGAUAAUCAGGUGCUGAUUGUAGCUUGGAUCAUGAAUUUGGAUAGACAAUUAAUGGAAUGCCCCAAUUUUAGGAUGAUGAGAAAAAUGUAUUUCUUUUCCCAGCAGCAGUUAGAUGCAAACUUUGCACAUCAUGCUUGUCAAAAUGAAGUGAUGUAUAUAAAAGCAUAACAAAACAGUAUUGCCAAGGAAAACGAAGUCAAUUGAGAGAUUAAAAAUCAGUACCAAAAUAAAAAUUGA